rnacentral:rRNA from 1 species
UAGGGAAUCUUCGGCAAUGGACGAAAGUCUGACCGAGCAACGCCGCGUGAGUGAAGAAGGUUUUCGGAUCGUAAAACUCUGUUGUUAGAGAAGAACAAGGACGUUAGUAACUGAACGUCCCCUGACGGUAUCUAACCAGAAAGCCACGGCUAACUACGUGCCAGCAGCCGCGGUAAUACGUAGGUGGCAAGCGUUGUCCGGAUUUAUUGGGCGUAAAGCGAGCGCAGGCGGUUUCUUAAGUCUGAUGUGAAAGCCCCCUGCUCAACCGGGGAGGGUCAUUGGAAACUGGGAGACUUGAGUGCAGAAGAGGAGAGUGGAAUUCCAUGUGUAGCGGUGAAAUGCGUAGAUAUAUGGAGGAACACCAGUGGCGAAGGCGGCUCUCUGGUCUGUAACUGACGCUGAGGCUCGAAAGCGUGGGGAGCAAACAGG